GACGAACGCUGGCGGCGUGCUUAACACAUGCAAGUCGAGCGGAGCGGCGAACGGGUGAAUAACUGGUUAGUAACUGCCCCCCUCUCUGUGAUAACAGUUGAACACGGCUGCUAAUACCGGAUAGUGGGGGAUGACUCGCGUCCUAUCAGCUUGUUGGUGGGGUAGUGGACUACCAAGGCGACGACGGGUAGCCGGCCUGAGAGGGCGACCGGCCACAUUGGGCUGAGAGACGGGCCAAAGUCCUACGGGGGGCAGCAGUGGGGAAUAUUGCGCAAUGGGGGAAACCGUGAUGCAGCAACGCCGCGUGCGGGAUGACGGCCUUCGGGUUGUAAACCGAUUUCAGCCAUGACGCGGUAGUGGCAGAAGAAGCACCGGCUAACUACGUGCCAGCAGCCGCGGUAAUUC
rnacentral:rRNA from 1 species